AUUGAACGCUGGCGGCAGGCCUAACACAUGCAAGUCGAGCGAGCGGCGGACGGGUGAGUAAUGUAUGGGGAUCUGCCUGAUGGAGGGGGAUAACUACUGGAAACGGUAGCUAAUACCGCAUACCAUCAGAUGACCCCAUAUGGGAUUAGCUUGUAGGUGAGGUAACGGCUCACCGAGGCGACGAUCCCUAGCUGGUCUGAGAGGAGGAUCAACACUCCGGGGACGGAGACACGGCCCAGACUCUUACGUGAGGCAGCAGUGGGGAAUAUUGCACAAUGGGCGCAAGCCUGAUGCAGCCAUGCCGCUUUUAUGAAGAAGGCAUUAGGGUUGUAAAGUACUUUCAGCGGGGAGGCGUUACCCGCAGAAGAAGCACCGGCUAACUCCGUGCCAGCAGCCGCGGUAAUUC
rnacentral:rRNA from 1 species